rnacentral:lncRNA from 1 species
AUUGAAUUGAAUCUGAAUAAUAUUGCUCUGUCUGAGUGUACCACAGCUUGUGUGUUUCCCUGCUGAAGGACGUCUUGGUUACUUUCAGGUUUUGGUAAUUAUGAAUAAAGCUGCUGUAAACAUUCACGUGCAGUUUUUCUGUAAACAUAAAUUUUCAGUUCAUUUGGCUAAAUAUUAAAGAGCACAAUUGCUGGAUCAUGUGAUAAGUGUAUGUUUGGUUUCAUAAGAAACUGCCAAAUUGACUUCCAAAGUGGCUGUGCCAUUUUGCUUUCCCACCAGCAGUGAAUGAGAGGUCCUGCUGCUCCACAUCCUCACCAGUGUUCCGUGAUGUCUGUGUUUUGGCCAGUCUCAUUGGUGUGUAGUGGAAUAUGCUUUUUCAGUGAAAGGUUGCAUGAUAAAAUAUCAUUUGCUAGUGUGAUAGAUGGUGUUUAUAGAAAAACUCGGCAGAAGUUUUCCUGUGAGGUUUAGAAGUAGAACUGUCUCCAGGAGAAGGGUGACAUUGGCCCUGAUUAACCAGACUACGUGUAGUAAUGCUUGUCCUCAUGUGUUUGUUUUGACAGGUGUUGAAACAAAGGCACCUAUCCUGAAGGCACUAGCACCUCCUGCCCUUGUCAACUGAUAUCAUGUGCCAGAGGCUCUUGUGGACCACCCGUAUGCUAGAGCGCCUCUCCAGCCUCGCCCGGCACUUUGUAUGUCCCUCGGCUGGGUUUGUUUUUCCUGGUAGGAUGUAUCAGCACCUGACAGGCAUACGUUGUGUUUGCCUGCCUCUCCCAGUGAGCGUAUAGGCUCAGGAGAGAAGGCACUUAGACUGUGCUAGUCCCUGUACUUAGAACAGAAUCUGAGAGUAGUAGAUGCUCAGUGAGUCUGAUGAACGCCAGUAUAAAAUGUCCAAAGUUUGCUGCCUUCGUGCCCCACAGUUUAACCUGCCUAAAUUGGAAAAUAUCUAGAGCUGCUCUGGAAAGUGAAUUUCAUGUUGUUUGCCAACUCCACUUGCUUGUUGCUGCCUAGGUUGAGAGAACCGGCUCAUGGGAAAGAAAGCAGUGAUUGUUUAGUAGUGGCUGUGGGGCCACAGGAGAGGAGAAUGUGGCAUACACGUGAG